rnacentral:lncRNA from 1 species
CAGAUACGAAUAUUGGUGGGCAUGAGUAUCAUUAAACUUGCAUCCAUAUUCAUUAACAAGCGGGUAUUUAAAUAUCUGUCAUACCCCGAUUUUGGUCCUGAAUUUUUCAAUUUUUAUUUUCCAUUUGGCACUUGGCCUAAGGUUCAUUUGCUUACAUUCAUGACCAGAGGCAACCGUCCAUUCCCAAAUCCAUAUUUUUUGAUAAACAUUGGUCAUUAUCUAGGCUUUUUG